rnacentral:misc_RNA from 1 species
GAUGAAGAACGCAGCGAAAUGCGAUAAGUAAUGUGAAUUGCAGAAUUCAGUGAAUCAUCGAAUCUUUGAACGCACAUUGCGCCCCUUGGUAUUCCGAGGGGCAUGCCUGUUCGAGCGUCAUUAUAACCCCUCAAGCUCAGCUUGGUGUUGGGGCCUGCUGCACUGGCAGCCCUUAAAAUCAGUGGCGGCGCCAUCUGGCUCUAAGCGUAGUAAUUCUUCUCGCUAUGGAGUCCUGGUGGAUGCUUGCCAUCAACCCCCAAUUUUUCUAUGGUUGACCUCGGAUCAGGUAGGAAUACCCGCUGAACUUAAGCAUAUCAAUAAGCGGAGGA